rnacentral:rRNA from 1 species
UACGUAGGGUGCAAGCGUUGUCCGGAAUUAUUGGGCGUAAAGAGCUCGUAGGCGGUUUGUCGCGUCUGCUGUGAAAACUCGGGGCUUAACUCCGGGCUUGCAGUGGGUACGGGCAGACUAGAGUGCGGUAGGGGAGACUGGAAUUCCUGGUGUAGCGGUGAAGUGCGCAGAUAUCAGGAGGAACACCGGUGGCGAAGGCGGGUCUCUGGGCCGUAACUGACGCUGAGGAGCGAAAGCGUGGGGAGCGAACAGG